UAAGCUUGAAUGCUGGUGUCCAUGGAUC
rnacentral:piRNA from 1 species